rnacentral:rRNA from 1 species
UACGUAGGGGGCGAGCGUUGUCCGGAUUUAUUGGGCGUAAAGAGCUCGUAGGCGGCUUGGCAAGUCGGGUGUGAAACCUCCAGGCUCAACCUGGAGACGCCACUCGAUACUGCCAUGGCUAGAGUCCGGUAGGGGACCACGGAAUUCCUGGUGUAGCGGUGAAAUGCGCAGAUAUCAGGAGGAACACCGCUGGCGAAGGCGGUGGUCUGGGCCGGCACUGACGCUGAGGAGCGAAAGCGUGGGUAGCAAACAGG